AACGUAGGAGACAAACGUUAUCCGGAGUUACUGGGCGUAAAGCGUGCGCAGGCGGUUCGUUAAGUCAGAUGUGAAAGCCCCGGGCUCAACCUGGGAACUGCAUUUGAAACUGGCGGGCUUGAGUGUGGCAGAGGGGGGUGGAAUUCCGCGUGUAGCAGUGAAAUGCGUAGAGAUGCGGAGGAACACCGAUGGCGAAGGCAGCCCCCUGGGCCAACACUGACGCUCAGGCACGAAAGCGUGGGGAGCAAACAGG
rnacentral:rRNA from 1 species